AAAGAAUCCAAGAAGUUUUUGUCUUGUUGUUGUAAUUAGAAAGCCUUUUAAGUGAUAACGUAUGCAUAGGAAUAUGAAUAUGUAGUGAUCAUGUGAAUGCUAUUUCAAAUAGGGGGACAGCUGCUAUUUUUGUUGUAGGCAGAAAACAUUAAAUUACACUGUAGAGCGGGGAUUAACUUCAGAACUUUAGGAAAGGAACUAAACCCUCUCCUAUCGUUUUGUCACAGGCUGCCCCAAACACCCAACUCCACGAAGUUCAUCCGGGAGACCUUGUUAGUCCCAGGUCGCAGCCCUGGGUCCCCCAGCCCGCGCCUGACUGUGCCGCCGACACUGCUGUCCAGUAAACUGCGGGGAGAUGUAAGCAGCAGACAGACAUCUUGGGGUCACUGGAGUUUGCCCCUGAAAAAGGAACAGUGGAUCCAAAGCCUAAAUAACUUCCGCAAUCCACAUAUUCUCGCCAUCUGGGUUCAGCCCUGACACUCGUCACAUGUGAAAGAGCAACCAGGGAGGUGGUGACCAAACUAAACAGCAAGGCCAGAGGCCUGGGAGCGCAGGUCACCUCACACCCACCCUGCUGAGUGUCCUGGGCGGCAGAGCAGGGCAGAGGAAGCCGGCGCUCUUGCUGCACCGAGAGCCUCUGAGGAAGUUAUUUAAAGGUGACACCCGCUGAUGACCCACUGUUCACAAGGAGAGGGCCUGAGAUGGCACGGAUGAGAGAGCACUACUGCUCUUGCUCUACAUCUUAUGUUUUAAAGGAGUGAAAUAAACAGGCACCUAACUACAACAAUUAUAACCAGUUACAGUGGAAAGAGACGCAAAAUGCAUCCUUGUUCCCAUUUUUCAAGUUGUUCUACUUAACAUGUUACCUUUUCUCUUUAUGAAGGUGAUUUGACAGUGAAGUAUAAGGCACAGCUACUACAGAGGUGUGCGGCGGGAUUCC
rnacentral:lncRNA from 1 species